rnacentral:rRNA from 1 species
CCAAUAGCGUAUAUUAAAGUUGUUGCAGUUAAAAAGCUCGUAGUUGAACUUCGGGGUUUACUCAUUGGUCAGGCUUAAUUGUCUGUACUGGUGAGAUGAAUCUCUACCUUCUGAGGAACUUUCAUGCCAUUUAUUUGGUGUGAUUGGAAAUCAGGACUGUUACUUUGAAAAAAUUAGAGUGUUUAAAGCAGGCUAACGUCUGAAUACAUUAGCAUGGAAUAAUGAAAUAGGACGGAUUGAUUCUAUUUCGUUGGUUUCUAGGGUCACCGUAAUGAUUAAUAGGGAUAGUUGGGGGCAUUAGUAUUCAAUUGUCAGAGGUGAAAUUCUUGGAUUUAUUGAAGACUAACUACUGCGAAAGCAUUUGCCAAGGAUGUUUUCAUUAAUCAAGAACGAAAGUUAGGGGAUCGAAGACGAUCAGAUACCGUCGUAGUCUUAACCAUAAACUAUGCCGACUAGGGAUCGGACGAAGCUAAUUAAUAAUGACGCGUUCGGCACCUUACG